GAUGAACGCUGGCGGCGUGCCUAAUACAUGCAAGUCGAGCGAACGGACGAGAAGCUUGCUUCUCUGAUGUUAGCGGCGGACGGGUGAGUAACACGUGGAUAACCUACCUAUAAGACUGGGAUAACUUCGGGAAACCGGAGCUAAUACCGGAUAAUAUUUUGAACCGCAUGGUUCAAAAGUGAAAGACGGUCUUGCUGUCACUUAUAGAUGGAUCCGCGCUGCAUUAGCUAGUUGGUAAGGUAACGGCUUACCAAGGCAACGAUGCAUAGCCGACCUGAGAGGGUGAUCGGCCACCCUGGAACUGAGACACGGUCCAGCCUCCUACGGGAGGCAGCAGUAGGGAAUCUUCCGCAAUGGGCGAAAGCCUGACGGAGCAACGCCGCGUGAGUGAUGAAGGUCUUCGGAUCGUAAAACUCUGUUAUUAGGGAAGAACAUAUGUGUAAGUAACUGUGCACAUCUUGACGGUACCUAAUCAGAAAGCCACGGCUAACUACGUG
rnacentral:rRNA from 1 species